CUGGGCAGGGCAGUGGAAGCACCAUUCCUGCAGGGAUUUAAAAACCAUGUGGAUGUGGCACUUGGGGACAUGCUUUAGCAGUGGGCUUGGAAGUGCCAGGUUAAAGGUUGGAUUCAAUGAUCUUAGAGGGCUUUUCCAACCUAAACAUUUCUGUGAU